GACGAACGCUGGCGGCGUGCUUAACACAUGCAAGUCGAACGGUGAAGCGCCUUCCUUUUUGGUGGGUGUGGAUGAGUGGCGAACGGGUGAGUAACACGUGAGUAACCUGCCCCCUUCUUCUGGAUAACCGCAUGAAAGUGUGGCUAAUACGGGAUAUUCUGGGUCUGUCGCAUGAUGGGUCUGGGACAGAUAUUGUUUCGGUGGGGGAUGGGCUCGCGGCCUAUCAGCUUGUUGGUGGGGUGAUGGCCUACCAAGGCGGUGACGGGUAGCCGGCCUGAGAGGGUGGACGGUCACACUGGGAAGGAGACACGGCCAAGACUCCUACAGGAGGCAGCAGGGGGGAAUAUUGCACAAUGGGCGCAAGCCUGAUGCAGCGACGCCGCGUGAGGGAUGGAGGCCUUCGGGUUGUGAACCUCUUUCGCCAGUGAAGCAGGCUUGCCUCGUCUGUGGGUGGGUUGACGGUAGCUGGAUAAGAAGCGCCGGCUAACUACGUG
rnacentral:rRNA from 1 species